rnacentral:SRP_RNA from 1 species
GCUGGGCAUGGUGGCGCGUGCCUGUAAUCCCAGCUACUCAGGAGGCUGAGGCAGGAGAAUUGCUUGAACCCAGGAGAUGGAGGUUGCGGUGAGCCGAGAUUGAGCCAUUGCACUCCAGCCAGGGUAACAAGGGCGAAACUCCAUCUCAAAAAAAAAGAAAAGACUUACUGUUUUGUUUUCUGUUUUCUUUUGAGAUGGAGUUUCGCUCUUGUUGCCCAGGCUGGAGUGCAGUAGUGCAAUAUCGGCCCGUUGCAACCUCCGCCUCCUGGGUUCAAGCAAUUCUCCUGCUUCAG